AUUGAACGCUGGCGGCAUGCUUUACACAUGCAAGUCGAACGGCAGCGCGGGCUUCGGCCUGGCGGCGAGUGGCGAACGGGUGAGUAAUACAUCGGAACGUGCCCAGUAGUGGGGGAUAGCUCGGCGAAAGCCGGAUUAAUACCGCAUACGACCUGAGGGUGAAAGCGGGGGAUCUUCGGACCUCGCGCUAUUGGAGCGGCCGAUGGCAGAUUAGCUAGUUGGUGGGGUAAAGGCCUACCAAGGCGACGAUCUGUAGCUGGUCUGAGAGGACGACCAGCCACACUGGGACUGAGACACGGCCCAGACGCCUACGGGAGGCAGCAGUGGGAAUUUUGGACAAUGGGCGAAAGCCUGAUCCAGCAAUGCCGCGUGUGUGAUGAAGGCCUUCGGGUUGUAAAGCACUUUUGGCGGGAACGAAAAGGACUGUGCCAAUACCACGGUUCGAUGACGGUACCCGCAGAAUAAGCACCGGCUAACUACGUG
rnacentral:rRNA from 1 species